AGGAUUGUAGCUCACUGGAAGAGCAUCUGCUUUGCAAGCAGAAGGCCCCAGGUUGAACCCCCGACAUCCCCA